ACACUAUGAGGGGAAUAUGAUGUUUUACAAAUAUAUAGUUACUUUACUGUAAGUGAUGAUAAUAAAUGCAGUGACUGUGAUUAAUUUUUCAUAACUUCUUUAUGGUUAAUAUCUAGGAAUGAAAAAACAAACAUGUCCUGUAAUUGCUUAAAAAGCAAUACAACGGGAACAAUGAUGCAUUUAGGCUAAUAACAUUGCCGUGAGGGGCCCAUUUAAAAAACCCACAAGCUACUACAUGGCCAUUCUCUUCCACAGAGGUUACUGGUCAUAUCUUCCUACCAACCUCUGUUCUAAUACGGCCAUAUUUCCCGGUUCUCAUAAAAUCCCCUAGCGGCAAAAAAAUCGCAACACAACUUAUCUCCCUUCUUUCUAUCCAAUCAGAACAUGUGUUACAUGGACUUUGAUCCAACUUGACUAAUGCAAGCAAAUAUGGGGCCACAAAUAUCUCUCUCCUGUCGGGGACACGAGUUGAUGUGACACACAAGAUAUUUAAUGGCUGGCUUGUCCGUUGUCAACGAGGGCGAUGGAGACACCAUUGAUCUGCCGUUACAUGACUGAGUUCUGUCCAGAAGAAAUGUUUGAGCAUCACUCAGUCGAAGAGGUUCUAGGUUUAUUACCGAGGCCUUGCGAAUGAUCACUUGUGAAACACCGUCGCUGAUUGCACAACUAAAUCUGAUUGCAACCAAUCAUGAAUCCUAAACCCUCGCACCAUGAAAGGGCCGUAUUUGAACAGAGGUUCGUAGGAAGAUAUGACAAGUAACCUCUGUGGGAAGAGAAUGCUAUGUGGCAUGGAUAUGUUCCAUUUUGCAUAUCUCACUUAGAUAAACAACAAACUAGUUCCAAGUUAAAACAAUCUCUUAAACAUAUUUGUAAGUAAUCAAUUCCAGUGAGCAGUGAUCAAAUUAAAGGCCUGCCCGCCUGCCCGAGACUGGCAACUUUUGUGAUGUCCUGCCUGAAAAAAUCUCCACCAUCCCAAUUGUCUGGCUGAUAUUUUUGAAUGCCUCCCUUUUGGAAGCUUCGUAUGAAUGACAUGCGAGAAGAUAUAUUUGAGGUUGGUAUCAAAUGUUUCAGAAAAUAUGUCAUUUUGAUGAUGUAAACCGAUAAGUGGAAUUGCAAGUUUAACAGGCUCUUUACUAAUGUCACAGCCUGGGGAUGUGGCUGAGUGUUUCAUUUCAUGCUUGUUGUUUUUAAUUUGCUGAAUUAAUUCACAUUUGAAACAAUGAUACUUGUUUGUUUUUGUAAAUAAAAUGCAAUUUAUGAGUCAAAACUGCGGGCAGGCAACUUUCAAGACGGGCAGGCAACUUUCAAGACGGACAGGCAACAUUUAUUGGUCACCUGCUCGACUGUCUGGUUGAGUUUGACAAUUAUUUCAAUCACUGCCAGUGAGCAUGAAAAAUGAAUUAAUUGAUGAAGGGAUACAGUUUGAUACGAGAGUGAAUCGAUAGUGAAUCGUAACAGGACAGGUGGUCUAAACUUAAACUUUCAGUCUGAAAUGAAGUGGGAAUGGAUGGGGUGUUUGUUUAUGUACGACAUGAAGCCAUGCAUUCAUGUACUUUACAUUUAACUUUAUUAAUUAGAAACUUGAUCUGUCUUUGAAAUCUGGAUUAUGUGAAUUAAUUUAUGUUACCAUGGUUACAGUAAAUUCUGUUACAAAAA